GACGAACGCUGGCGGCGCGCUUAACACAUGCAAGUUGAACGGAAAGGCCCUGCCUUUGUGGGGUGCUCGAGUGGCGAACGGGUGAGUAACACGUGAGUAACCUGCCCUUGACUUUGGGAUAACUUCAGGAAACUGGGGCUAAUACCGGAUAGGAGCUCCUGCUGCAUGGUGGGGGUUGGAAAGUUUCGGCGGUUGGGGAUGGACUCGCGGCUUAUCAGCUUGUUGGUGGGGUAGUGGCUUACCAAGGCUUUGACGGGUAGCCGGCCUGAGAGGGUGACCGGCCACAUUGGGACUGAGAUACGGCCCAGACUCCUACGGGAGGCAGCAGUGGGGAAUAUUGCACAAUGGGCGGAAGCCUGAUGCAGCAACGCCGCGUGCGGGAUGACGGCCUUCGGGUUGUAAACCGCUUUCGCCUGUGACGAAGCGUGAGUGACGGUAAUGGGUAAAGAAGCACCGGCUAACUACGUG
rnacentral:rRNA from 1 species